UAUUAUGAAUCUUGCUCUCAAAGUUUGUCUUUUGCAUGUAUUUGCAUGCUGUUUUUAAUAAUCAAGAAUAAGAGAAUCAAGAUGAAGAAAAUAUUUUAAAGUAGUCUCUGGAUGUUUCUGCUCUUCAGAUGCUCAUGGAGCUUAUUCUGUUAUUUUGUACUUGGCUUCAUCUGGAGUGGGUGUGAUUUGGGGUGUUGUUUUUUUAAAACUUUAUUUUAUUGAGUUGGCUACAGUCAUCAUUUUGGGGGGAUUCAUAAGGAUCCUCACAUGCCUGCUCUCAAGGGUGUUUGUUACUGAGAUCCCCAUAGUGCGCUCCCAAAGCACCAGAAAUAAGGUAGGCCUGCUGAAGGAUGCCUGCAGUCGUCUGCUGAAACCCACUGAGUAGAUUGGGCUGGACUAUGAAGAUAUUUUUGCCAUGUGGGAAGCUGGGAAAUGGAGGAAAACAAAAGAGUUUCUAAGGCUCUUCCGAAACCAUGUAGAAGCCAAACUGGUGGUAUGUUGUUCCACAAGGCACAGCAUGGGAUCUUCUAAGGUGGUGAGUUUUCUUAGAAAUCCACACUGCAGGUGGCAUGUGUGCAGGUUCCUCGGGAGGGAAAUGAGAAGGUGACACCUGCAAAGUGAAGUGACUUGUACUGUGUGCAUGCAAGAAGAAGGACAGGCUCACACCAUGCUGCCUACCCCCAUGACUAUGUUGAGUUGAACGUGGACCCCAGACUGGCAGGUUUCUGAUCUGAUCAGAAAUCCCACAGGAGUCAAAUGGAUGUUCUGUCAGAACAUGUGUGCCAGGGUCACCUUUAUGAGCUUUGUGUCACGAUGUUUGUGUGUUUUGUAUCACCAAGUCCAGAAAAACAUAGUCACAGAGGACCAAACUUGAUGCCCAUUUAUGUGUGUGAAAAGAAGUUUUCCUACUGCAAGGAACCAGAGCUCAGGUGAAGAGAACAGAAUGACACUGGUUUGAAAAUCUAAGGUCUUUUCUCAGACCUGCAUGUAAGAAGAAUGAAGAUUCCUGAUCUUUACCUUCACUUCAACUAACAUAUAAAACAAACGAACAAAAAACCAACCACCACACAAAUGGAGUGUUCUCUUCAGUGUCACUUCUGCUGUCUGGGAGAGAUGAGACCAGCCUGCUGCUGGUACACUGAGAGGGAUCCAUCUUUUGCUGCAACCUCCCUAAAGCAUCUCCACACCUGUACUCUUCUGCAUCAGAAAUAUGGUUCACUGAGGAGUUUCUCAUCAUUCAGAAAUGAGAUCAGACUUUACUGUCCAGCAGAGAAUUGAAACUGGAGUGGAAUGGCGAUUACCUUAAUUUGUAAGUUAUGGCUUUCUGCUGUUAUCUACACUACUGAGUAACUCAGUGGAAAAGGAGAUGAUGUUGGUGCUGAGGAUGAAAGCUUCACACUGUGAGCAUUUUGGAUGUACUCUUAUCCCUUGGGCAGAAGCCCAUUAAUGCUUGGAGUGCAUGAGUUGACCUGUAGAGUGCAUCUUCCACAUCAGCUUUGUUGAAAAAUCAGUAUGUUUGUGCCCCUCUGAGUUUGCUCUGAGGUGUAGUAAAUGAGUAGGAUUAGGAAACUUCCUUCUUAAGUUCCCAGACCCUGCUAAAAUACUAAUAUACUCUCCCAUGGCCUUUUACAAUAUGGAAGCAACGUAAUAAUUACAAGCUACUACCAUCAGGGAGAUCAAAGUCCCUGUAUUUCAAGGUGGCACUUGAUGUAUUCAAGCAUAAGAGCACAAUCUCCUAUAUUUCUGUGAGCUAAGAGAACCAGGAGGUGAACCCGAAUGAGUCUGAAACUGAAAAGUGUUUGCCAGUAAGGCCAGCUCUUAAUUUAUUCUAUACUCAUCUUUCAAAAGGGAAAGAAAUACCUUUAUCAACUCCUUGAUGAAACAUGAGAGCUUGUUUGUUCUUAACAUGUAGGAAGAAAGAGCCAAAGGUGUUAUUUCAGAAGCACUGACUGAGAAGCUUUGUAGUGCAAAGUCUUUCAUUGUGCCUACCUAGACUUGAAAAAAUUUCUCAAUGUGAGCUGAAUACCAUUGCCUUUCAUUUACUUUAGGGAGAGGUGUUUUAGCUCUUAUUUCUGAAAUACUCAUGGCCUACAUUUGAAAACUUUUAAGGAUUUGAAAAAUUUUAAGGAUGUUAAAUCUGCUAAAAUGAGUGCUUGCAUAACACCUGCCCUUCUGGAAGCUAGUAAGAUAAACAGCAUUGCUUGUGGACUAAAGAAAAUGUGGUCGGGGUGAUAAAAAGGGCUAUAGGUAGAUCUAUUGGGAAAGAAAUGUAAUUGGAUUCCUGGGUAUCUUACUGGUUGGGGCACUUCCCUUUCUGCCCCACAGCAAAAAGGUCCCAAUCCAGUGGAGCACUUAGCUCUGAGCAGUGCCUUGGAGAUCAAUGGGGCUACUUACAGCAUGUAAAACCAGGCACAUGGUUAAGUGCUUUAUUGGGUCAGAGCCAGACUGAAUAACACAUACAUAACGCUGCAUUCAGAUUCACUAUAUUCAGUUCUCAGAUCUGUAUUGAUCUGAAUUUUGAAGCCUUCACUGAAUUAACUUUUAAAGUAAAUUUUCUUUUUUAUAAACACAAAAUGAAUUUGAUGUAGUUGCCCCUUUCAUUCAGAGAUCUGAAAAUACUUUAAAAAAGUAUGAAUGUAUUGAUCUUUCACUAUGGGGAGAGUGAGUAGUAGCAACCAUAAAACAGAUGAGGAAUCUGAAAGUAGAAGAGUGAAGAAAAAAUCCACAACAACUGACUGAAAUUGGAAAACAAAUUUGUCUUGAUUGUAUUCCCAUCUGCUUUGGGUUCGGUUUCAUUAGCUUUCUUGAAAGGGAGCUUCUGUCAGGAAAGUAUAUGAAAGCACUGUAGAUAUUCAAGAGCAGUUGCAGAAGUGUUUUUUAACCUAGCUUCUAAUUCAUGGGCUUACGUAUGCCUGUUCUUUUUUACAUACUGUGAAAAUAGUAUGGAUUUGCACAGGGUAGGUACUUUUUUGGUCACAGUUUUUAUCAAAGGAAGUUUUUAAGAAGAGGCAGAAACCCACUGGAAUAUUGUUUGCAUGUUAACUUAUGGAACUCACUGUCCAUGGAUAACAUUUCAAUAAUGUGUCAAAGACUUAGAAUUGCUUGUUAUGUGUGCAAAGGACAGCUGCAGCAACUUUAACUAGGAUGAUAGUAUACAGGAAGAAGAGCAAUAAUGCUAUAACCGUUAAGCAUUGGGCAUAGGAAGAAGAUUCUCUCAUAAGCAAGUUAUUACAUAAUUCUGUUAUGGGAGUUUCACACCUUCCUCUGAAACAUCUGGUGCUAGAAAUGCAAUAAAAUACUAAAUGAAUUUCUGACCUGAUGUGGCAUGACAAUCAAUAAAGUUCUUUUAUUAGCGAACUCUACUUUUAAGAACUUGUCAGAGUAACUGUACACAGCUUUGCAGAACGCCAACUUGUGACCAAACA